GGAGAGAGUGCAGAGAGAGUGCAGGAGGUCUGUGCACAGUGGUCAGAGUGCAGAGAGAGUGCAGGAGGUCUGUGCACAGCAGUCGGAGUGCAGAGAGAGUGCAGGAGGUCUGUGCACAGCAGUCAGAGUGCAGAGAGAGUGCAGGAGGUCUGUGCACAGCAGUCAGAGUGCAGAGAGAGUGCAGGAGGUCUGUGCACAGCAGUCAGAGUGCAGAGAGAGUGCAGGAGGUCUGUGCACAGCAGUCAGAGUGCAGAGAGAGUGCAGGAGGUCUGUGCACAGCAGUCAGAGUGCAGAGAGAGUGCAGGAGGUCUGUGCACAGCGGUCAGAGUGCAGAGAGAGUGCAGGAGGUCUGUGCACAGCAGUCAGAGUGCAGAGAGAGUGCAGGAGGUCUGUGCACAGCAGUCAGAGUGCAGAGAGAGUGCAGGAGGUCUGUGCACAGCAGUCAGAGUGCAGAGAGAGUGCAGGAGGUCUGUGCACAGCAGUCAGAGUGCAGAGAGAGUGCAGGAGGUCUGUGCACAGCAGUCAGAGUGCAGAGAGAGUGCAGGAGGUCUGUGCACAGCAGUCAGAGUGCAGAGAGAGUGCAGGAGGUCUGUGCACAGCAGUCAGAGUGCAGAGAGAGUGCAGGAGGUCUGUGCACAGCAGUCAGAGUGCAGAGAGAGUGCAGGAGGUCUGUGCACAGCGGUCGGAGUGCAGAGAGAGUGCAGGAGGUCUGUGCACAGCAGUCAGAGUGCAGAGAGAGUGCAGGAGGUCUGUGCACAGCAGUCAGAGUGCAGAGAGA